UUAAAAGCAGUAUUGGAUUAUUUCAACUUUGGAAGUUGAGGGCUAGGGAUUUCUACUUUUAAA
rnacentral:tRNA from 1 species